CUUGCUUCUCUUGAGAGCGGCGGACGGGUGAGUAAUGCCUAGGAAUCUGCCUGGUAGUGGGGGAUAACGUUCGGAAACGGACGCUAAUACCGCAUACGUCCUACGGGAGAAAGCAGGGGACCUUCGGGCCUUGCGCUAUCAGAUGAGCCUAGGUCGGAUUAGCUAGUUGGUGGGGUAAUGGCUCACCAAGGCGACGAUCCGUAACUGGUCUGAGAGGAUGAUCAGUCACACUGGAACUGAGACACGGUCCAGACUCCUACGGGAGGCAGCAGUGGGGAAUAUUGGACAAUGGGCGAAAGCCUGAUCCAGCCAUGCCGCGUGUGUGAAGAAGGUCUUCGGAUUGUAAAGCACUUUAAGUUGGGAGGAAGGGUUGUAGAUUAAUACUCUGCAAUUUUGACGUUACCGACAGAAUAAGCACCGGCUAACUCUGUGCCAGCAGCCGCGGUAAUACAGAGGGUGCAAGCGUUAAUCGGAAUUACUGGGCGUAAAGCGCGCGUAGGUGGUUUGUUAAGUUGGAUGUGAAAUCCCCGGGCUCAACCUGGGAACUGCAUUCAAAACUGACUGACUAGAGUAUGGUAGA
rnacentral:rRNA from 1 species